GUCUCUGUGGUGCUAUCAGUUAGCGCGCUAGGCUGUUAACUAAAGGUUGGUGGUUCAAGCCCACUCAGGGACG
rnacentral:tRNA from 1 species